AGACGUUCUGGAGCGCCUGGCCUCCCCUUGGGGAGGUGACGAGGAAGAGGGUCAUCGAGACAUUCGGCGGGUGCCCUCUCGGCCGCUCACGGUCGUGACGGUGCGGCAGAAACCCCGGGGGCGACCCCGGACACAAGGCCGUAUCGACGUGAGGC
rnacentral:ncRNA from 2 species